CCUACGGGUGGCAGCAGUGGGGAAUAUUGGGCAAUGGGCGCAAGCCUGACCCAGCAACGCCGCGUGAAGGAAGAAGGCUUUCGGGUUGUAAACUUCUUUUAAGAGGGAAGAGCAGAAGACGGUACCUCUUGAAUAAGCUACGGCUAACUACGUGCCAGCAGCCGCGGUAAUACGUAGGGUGCAAGCGUGGUCCGGAUUUACUGGGUGUAAAGGGCGUGCAGCCGGGAAGACAAGUCAGAUGUGAAAUCCCGCGGCUCAACCGGGGAACUGCAUUUGAAACUGGUUAGCUUGAGUACCGGAGAGGUCAGCAGAAUUCCAUGUGUAGCGGUGAAAUGCGUAGAUAUAAGGAAGAACACCAGUGGCGAAGGCGGAUGACUGGAC
rnacentral:rRNA from 1 species